rnacentral:snRNA from 1 species
UGUCCUCCAUAGGAGGUCUAUAUUGAGCAGAUUUUUUUUUGGUGUUGGGUGGUGGAACUGGAGCUUGCUCCAUCCACUCCAUGCAUUGACCUGGUAUUGCAGUGCUUCCAGGACUGGUGC